UACGUAGGUGGCAAGCGUUGUCCGGAUUUACUGGGCGUAAAGGGCGUGCAGGCGGUUUGUUAAGUGCAGGGUGAAAGCUCCCGGCUCAACUGGGAGAGGUCCUUGCAUACUGGCAGACUUGAGGGAGGCAGAGGAAAGUGGAAUUCCCGGUGUAGUGGUGAUAUGCGUAGAUAUCGGGAGGAACACCUGUGGCGAAGGCGGCGACCUGGGUCGACACUGACGCUGAGGCGCGAAAGCGUGGGGAGCAAACAGG
rnacentral:rRNA from 1 species